rnacentral:lncRNA from 1 species
GUUUUGUUAAGAUGCACUUUUGUAUUGGAUGUUGUAAGUAAUUGAAAUUGUCACUAUGCUGAAUUUCUUCCACAGAAGAAUGAGAGAUGUGACUCGAAGAUUUAUUAGGCAUACGUAUGUAUUAUAUAUCCUGUUCAACACUCAGUGUCCUAUAGAGCCACACACGCACCACAAACCACUAUUAAGGACUGUGGAUUAUGAUUAAUCAACCCAUUGUUGAAUGUUCCAGAACAGCCGCGGUAUCCAAACGGUUGUGCAGAUGUGGGAGGAGCAUUUAACCUCAUUGAAACAUAACAAACUGCCAAGGAACAAAGAACCUGUGCUGUAUCCUGCAGUCAUGAUUGGAUCUCUGGAUCAGAGUUGGAGGUGACAGUCAGAGCAGGAGACAACAUCACUCUCUACUGUGACUGCAAGUUAUCAAGUGGAGUUUACGUAGUGUGGUACAGGAACUGCUCUCAUGACAACCAGCCUAUUCUUGUCCUUAAAAGAACUUCAUGGCCAAAAACCACUACGAUUGAAAACUUCCUGAAUCCCCUCCCUCGUUUCCACUUUGUGAGAAACUAUUCCUCUGACUCCUACGACCUGCUGAUCAGUAACAUCACUGACUCUGAUGAUGGCCUCUACUACUGUGGAACUGAAGAGAAUAAGCUGGAGGAUGAAAAAUACAUUACUAGCAGAUCUGUUAACCGAUAUGGCAACACAACAACAAGGAUCUUAUUCAACAGUGAGCCUCAUCACGAUGAGACUCCACGAGACUGUGGUGUGUGCUGGAUGCUGCUGUUCUCUCUGUGUCCAGCGUUUGCUGUUCUGUCCUCUCUCCUCUCCUCUCUUCUGGUUUAUCGCCUCUGUCACAAAGAAGGUAACUACGGUUUAUCUCACUUUUUAAGCUUAACUUGUUAA